ACAAUUAGAAAUUCUGCCUAUGGAUGCAAAUUUCAUAGAAAAACAAUUUUAAGCCUUGAACGUGGGUAAAAUAUCCCUUCGGUUGAAGUCAUUUAUUCUUUUGAUACACUUCUACAACAUGUAUACUUUAAACCUGCUCAGAUAAAGUGAAAUUUAGCAAAAAGGAUAAUUCCCUCCCGCCCCCAAACUAACAUGCCAUUUUAAAAACAGCACAAAGGAACAAGGAAACUAAAUAUUAUUUUGAGCCAUCAUUAUUUAGCGAAACACAAACAUCCAAAUAGAAACGAUUGUUGUUCCACCAGAAGAUUAGAAGUUAAAUGAUUUCCACACAAUAGAAAUUUCACCUCAUGUCACCGGGGAUGUAGUAGGAGUUGCAUUAUUUGUCAAACCAAAUAGAGAUGCGUGGGCCGACUUUGCUGAAAUACAAAAGAAUCGAACCUUAUCUGAAGGCGUUCUCCGAGUGCCUCCUCCUAGACAAGCCCGUGUAAGCAGUCCGCCCCAGUUAAAACCACGCUAAUAUUUACAAAACGGUUAUAAAUCCUCGAAGACAUUUUGCCCAUUUUGUACAAAGAAACAGGAGUAAACAAAGUGUUUAUACUUAUUAUGUUCCAUUAAUGAAACUUUUAUUACUUUACAUCGUGGGGAACGUUUGUUUUCUUUAGAAAUGAACCACUGAUUUCUAUAAGGAAAAAAUUGUGAGGGCAUUUCCGACAGAAAAAGCUUAGGUGCAUGGCUUCAAAUGAUCGUUUCUUUUUCUGCAUCUUAGCUUUUUCAUUGUUCAAUUCUUCUUAUGACUUCUCUUGUAUCUUUUCUUUGAUUGUCAGUUUUCUUUCAAAGUUUUGUUAAGUACUUAAUGCAGAAAAGUGAGCUCUGGCCUCCCCAAUGUAAGUGCAACCUAAAAAGGUGGAUCUGUAUCUAGAAAGAGGGCGGUAGAAACAGUAAAACAGGCAGCAGAGAAACACCCUACCCAGAUCAUCCCACCCAGAACAUUUCUAGGUUUGCAUCUUCAGAUAUCGCACCCUCUGAAGUCAAUAGCUAGAAAGUAAUCAAGUAUUCCCCAGAACCAAUUUGUGUACAGGAUUCCAAGUAAGUGGAAACAAUGUUUCACAGGGUUAGCCU
rnacentral:lncRNA from 1 species